AGCGCGGCAAACAGCGGUGA
rnacentral:misc_RNA from 1 species